CGUGUUGCCUGCAAGGGCGUAUGGUGGAUGCCUUGGCAGACAGGACCGAUGAAGGACGUUUGAGGCUGCGAUAUGCCUCGGGGAGCCGCCAACAGGGCUUUGAUCCGAGGAUUUCCGAAUGGGGGAACCCACCGGCCGUCAUGGGCCGGUACCGCCGUGUGCGGGGGGUACGCAGGGAAGUGAAACAUCUCAGUACCUGCAGGAAAGGAUAUUCCGUGAGUAGUGGCGAGCGAAAGCGGAUCAGGCCAAACCUUGCGCGUGUGAUACCCGUCGGGGGUUGCGCGCGGGGUGUAGAGGGAUCGCGUUUGCCGGCUCCGACGGGCCGGCCGUCAGUUGCAUAAAACCAUGUGCCAGGGGAACCGGGUUGAAUACCGGGCCGCAGAGGGUGAGGGCCCCGUACCCGAACGCGCAUGGUCUGGCGAUCGCGUCUCCCAAGUAGCACGGGCCCCGUGGAAUCCCGUGCGAAUCAGUCCCGACCGUGGGAUAAGCCUAAAUAUUCCUGUCUGACCGAUAGCGAACGAGUACCGUGAGGGAAAGGUGAAAAGUACCCCGGGAGGGGAGUGAAACAGUCUCUGAAACCAUGCGCCUACGAACCGUCGGGGCCCCCUUGUGGGGUGACGGCGUGCCUAUCGAAAAAUGAGUCUGCGAGUCAGUGGCAUGUGGCGAGCAUAAGCCGUGUGGCGUAUGCGUAGCGAAGGCGAGUCUUAAAAGGCGUUUGAGUCGCGUGUCCUGGACCCGAAGCGGGAUGAUCUAGCCCUGAGCAGGUUGAAGCGCGGGUAAGACCGUGUGGAGGACCGAACCCACCUGGGUUGAAAACCGGGGGGAUGACUUGGGGCUAGGGGUGAAAGGCCAAUCAAAUUCCGUGAUAGCUGGUUCUCUCCGAAAUGCAUUUAGGUGCAGCGUCGGAUCGAUUACAUCCGGGGGGUAGAGCGACUGGAUGCUUGCGGGCCCAUAUCGGGUACCAACAGCAACCAAACUCCGAAUACCCGUGAUGCGUAUCCCGGCAGUGAGUCGGCGGGGGAUAAGCUCCGUCGUCGAAAGGGAAACAGCCCAGAUCGUCGUCUAAGGUCCCCAAGCGUGUGCUAAGUGGGAAAGGAUGUGGAGUCGCAUAGACAGCCAGGAGGUUGGCUCAGAAGCAGCCACCCUUGAAAGAGUGCGUAACAGCUCACUGGUCUAGUGGUUCCGCGCCGACAAUGUAGCGGGGCUCAAGCACACCACCGAAGACGCGGCAGUAGCUUUGCUACUGGGUAGGAGAGCGUCCCAUGCGGGGCGAAGCGGCGGCGCAAGCCCGCCGUGGACCGCAUGGGAGUGAGAAUGCAGACAUGAGUAGCGAAAGACGGGUGAAGAUCCCGUCCGCUGGACGACCAAGGGUUCCAGGGCCACGUUCAUCGUCCCUGGGUGAGUCGGGUCCUAAGGCGAGGCCGACAGGCGUAGUCGAAUGGAUGAACGGGUCGAUAUUCCCGUACCGGCAUGCAACCGACAAAACCGAAUCCGCGAGUACUAACCUCCGGGUCCGGGCUUACGUCUCCUUCGGGAGCCGGAUGCCCUGGCCUGUUGGGACCGUAACGGUAGUAGGUCAGCGCGGGAGUGACGCAGAAGGGUAGCCGGCCGCGGAGGUGGUCUUCCGUGGUCAAGCACGCAGCCCGUCCCACAGGCAAAUCCGUGGGGCGCGUGGGCGAGGUGCGAUGAUGGGCGCCGCAGGGCGCGAUAUCCGGUGAUCCCGGCUGCCGAGAAAAGCUUCGGCGUGAGGCGGCGUGCCGCCCGUACCCCAAACCGACACUGGUGGUCAGGUAGAGAAUACCAAAGCGAUCGAGCGAAUCCUGGUCAAGGAACUCGGCAAAUCACUCCCGUUCCUUCGGUUUAAGGGAGACCCCCGAUGGUGAAGCGGCUUGCCCGUGGAGCUUUUGGGGGUGGCACAGACCAGGGGGUAGCGACUGUUUACCAAAAACACAGGAGCGUGCGAAGGCGCAAGCCGCUGUAUACGCUCUGACGCCUGCCCGGUGCCGGAAGGUUAAGAGGAUCCGUCAGGCUUCGGCCGAAGCGGUGAAUUCAAGCCCCGGUAAACGGCGGUGGUAACUAUAACCAUCCUAAGGUAGCGAAAUUCCUUGUCGGGUAAGUUCCGACCUGCACGAAUGG
rnacentral:rRNA from 1 species